rnacentral:rRNA from 1 species
GAUGAACGCUGGCGGCGUGCCUAAUACAUGCAAGUCGAGCGAACAGACGAGGAGCUUGCUCCUCUGACGUUAGCGGCGGACGGGUGAGUAACACGUGGAUAACCUACCUAUAAGACUGGGAUAACUUCGGGAAACCGGAUCUAAUACCGGAUAAUAUAUUGAACCGCAUGGUUCAAUAGUGAAAGACGGUUUUGCUGUCACUUAUAGAUGGAUCCGCGCCGCAUUAUCUAGUUGGUAAGGUAACGGCUUACCAAGGCAACGAUGCGUAGCCGACCUGAGAGGGUGAUCGGCCACACUGGAACUGAGACACGGUCCAGACUCCUACGGGAGGCAGCAGUAGGGAAUCUUCCGCAAUGGGCGAAAGCCUGACGGAGCAACGCCGCGUGAGUGAUGAAGGUCUUCGGAUCGUAAAACUCUGUUAUUAGGGAAGAACAAAUGUGUAAGUAACUAUGCACGUCUUGACGGUACCUAAUCAGAAAGCCACGGCUAACUACGUG